UUGAAGAAAGUUCGUUCUUUUAUUGAUAAUGGGAAAAAGGUUGGUCACUACAAAGCUGCGUGUGGGACUUUAUAAAUAGUCUGUCAGCUUGAACCUUCUAGGGUUCGACUCAAAGAAAAGAAAAGGACUCAAAACGACAGGACUUUGAAAGGAAAUAACAAACCUAGUCUACGAAAACAUAAACUCAUCGUUUCAUUUAAUACAAAAAUGGAAAGUUUGCUUAAGACUCUUUAAACUAAACUACUGACGUCGUUUUGAUGUUGUACGUAGCCGUUGUGAGGGCCAAGAUCACCUGCAAGAACGAUAUAAUAAUUGAAAAGCUUACCUUGGUGUGAAGGGUUCCGGUUGGCCGCUUGUGUAGCUGUGAUGGCCGAGCUUGAGGCCGUGGCGUCCUUGGCUUGGAACCUUCUUGUAAAGUCUUCUAAAUACUUUUCCAAUGUAGCUAAGUCCUUGUCUUCAAGUCCCCAAGCUUUUUGGUGCUCCGUCCUAGUUUCUUGGUCUUCUUGGCCUUUCUCGGGUCCGAGUGGUGUAUUGUGAAGCAUCUCCAAACCUGCUCGUUGGAGGGACAAAAAUCCACGUUCAUUAGCCUCAGUAUAUAUACUUGGACGAGAGAUCUUACCUUUGUUGGAGGUUUCCAAGUCGUCUGGUGGCUCCAGCCCGGGGGUCUUUGAUUUAUCGACUAAAUCUUGUACGGGCUCGGCCAUCUCAUUAUCCGCUCGGGCAAACUUGUUUCUGUCUCGUCCGUUAGAUUCAGCUGGUGAUUUUGGUCGAGCAAGGUCAGCUUCAGUACGAUAGAUUCCAUCGCCAAAUUGGUCUGGCCGAGGUGAUACUGAUUUCUCGGCCAAAAUCUCUCGCGUCUCGGCCAAAGUUUCUCGCGUAUCGGCCAUUUUGGAACCAUCCUUUAGUUCUUCAGGUUUUAAGCCUGAAAAUGACAUUCUGCUCGGACUGUUAGCAUUUAAAUCAAAAACUGGUCGAGAGAUAACCAUUUUGGCCUGAGAGAUUCGGUCAUCUGAUGGGUCAUUUCUGGAACCCAAGUAUUCGGCCCCGGUUUGGCCGCAAAGCUUGUUUAAGCCGUAUAUGACAUUCGGGUCGGGCAACAACGGGUCGUCUGGAUCUAGUGAGUUGAUAAAGAUGUGUAAGGCUCUCUUGUAUCUAUUUCUGAGUUGUUUAAUCUUGGAGCGUGUCAUGGCCCCGUCUUGGACGGAUGGCAUUAGCCCCGGUAAGGUCUUAGGGUCGAUGUCCACAUCAUUCCCUCCCUCUUCUAAAGGUGUUGACCCCAAAACUUCUUCACCUGCAUCAAAAUAAGAUAAGUCAACCACGUUAAAAGUGUGUGAAAUGUUAUACUCACCUGGAAGAUCCAAACGAUAGGCAUUAUCGUUGAUCUUGCUCAAGACUUUGAAUGGGCCGUCGCCUCUCGGCGAGUGUUUGGACGCACGCCGACCAGGAAACCUUUCUGUCCUCAUGUGUAACCAGACCCAAUCUCCUGGUUCAAAUGAGACGUCCUUCCGGUCUUUGUCUGCGGCCUUCUUGUAGACUUCGGUCUUCUUUUCUAUGUUGGUCUUCGCCGUCUCAUAUAGCUUUUUGAACAGCUCUCCUCGUCUCAAUCCAUCUAGAUUGGUUUGGUCUACCUGUGCUAUAGGUCUAAGAUCCACUGGAGAAAGAGGGUUAGUACCGUAAACUAUCUCGAAUGGAGAUAGUUUUGUAGCCGAGUGCCUUGCACGGUUAUAAGCAAAUUCUACAAAAGGAAUGCAAUCGAGCCAGGUGCUCAUGUUUUUACCAAGUGAAGCCCUAAGUAGUGUAGAUAAGGUUCGGUUUACCACUUCUGUUUGACCAUCGGUCUGAGGGUGACAUGUUGUGGAGAAAAUGAGCUUGGUGCCUAGGUUUUUCCACAAGGUACGCCAAAAAUGGCUGAGAAACUUGGUGUCUCGGUCUGAGAUGAUUGUUCUCGGGACCCCAUGUAGACGUACGACCUCCUUGAAGAACAAGUUGGCUAUUUGUGUGGCGUCGUUUGUCUUUUCACACGGUAUAAAGUGGGCCAUCUUAGAAAACCGGUCAACAACAACAAAAAUGGAGUCCUUGUGCCUGAUCUUGGGUAAACCUAAGACAAAAUCCAUCGAAAUAUCUACCCAAGGGGCGUUAGGUAUAGGCAGAGGCAUAUAUAAACCGUGAGGAUGUGACCUGGAUUUGGCUUUGUGGCAUUGGAUACAUCUAGAACAGAAUCGUCCCACGUCCCUUUUCAUGUGUGGCCAAUAGAAAUGGUCCAUCAUGACAGCCAGAGUCAAAUCCACUCCAAAGUGUCCCAUUAAGCCUCCACCGUGAGCUUCACUACGCACUAGUUCCCUCAUAGAUCCCUGCGGAAUGCACAAGCGUUUAUCUUUAAAAAGAAAACCAUUGUGUAUAUAGAAAGAACCUGUAGGUCCUUUGCAGCAAUCGAUAUAUGUUUCUCCAAGUUCAGGAUCAUCUUUGUAUAGCGUCUUAAUGUGUUCAAAACCCAUACUUUGGCCUCCAUGGUCGCUAUAAGCGUAUGGCGUCUUGAUAACGCAUCAGCUACCACGUUGUCUUUGCCCUUUUUGUACUUGAUUACAUAGGGGAAGGUCUCUAUGAACUCAAGCCAUUUAGCAUGCCUUCGUUUAAGUGAAGUUUGGCCACGCAAAUGUUUAAGGGUUUCGUGAUCAGUGUGUAUGAUGAACUCCUUGGACAACAAGUAAUGUUGCCAUGUCUCCAAUGCUCUAACUAGUGCGUACAACUCCUUAUCAUAGGUGGGGUAGUUGAGGGUGGCCCCAUGGAUUUUCUCACUGAAAUACGCCACCGGCCUCUUCUUUUGGUGCAGCACAGCUCCGAUCCCUAAUCCGGAGGCAUCGCACUCCACUUCGAACAUCUCGUCGAAGUUUGGUAAAGCAAGAACGGGUGCUUGGGUGAGUCUUUCCUUCAAGGCUUGAAACGCUUCGUCUUGAGCUGUUCCCCACCUGAACGGAACGUUCUUCUUGAUAACAGCCGUGAGUGGUGCGGCCACAGUGCUAAAAUCUCUCACGAACCGCCGGUAAAAACUGGCUAGCCCAUGAAAGCUUCGUACAUGGCCGAUGGUGGUAGGGGUAGGCCAUUCUUGUAUCGCCUUUAUCUUUUCUUCAUCCACCUGUAAGCCCAGUUCACUCACAACGAAUCUUAAGAACACGAGUUGGUUAGUACAGAAUGAGCACUUCUUAAGGUUAGCAUAAAGGUCUUCCUUGCGAAGUGAUUUGGGCACUAGUUCGAGGUGUGUAAGAUGGUCAUGUAAGUUCUUACUAUAUAUAAGUAUGUCAUCAAAAUAAACUACCACAAAUUUACUUAUAUAUUCUCGAAGAACCUGGUUCAUUAAUCGCAUGAAGGUGCUAGGGGAUCUAGAGAUGGGAAAAAGGUUGGUCACUACAAAGCUGUGUGUGGGACUUUAUAAAUAGUCCGUCAGCUUGAACCUUCUAGGGUUCGACUCAAAGAAAAGAAAAGGACUCAAAACGACAGGACUUUGAAAGGAAAUAACAAACCUUGUCUACGAAAACAUAAACUCAUCGUUUCAUUUAAUACAAAAAUGGAAAGUUUUCUUAAGACUCUUUAAACUAAACUACUGACGUCGUUUUGAUGUUGUACGUAGCCGUUGUGAGGGCCAAGAUCACCUGCAAGAACGAUAUAAUAAUUGAAAAGCUUACCUUGGUGUGAAGGGUUCCGGUUGGCCGCUUGUGUAGCUGUGAUGGCCGAGCUUGAGGCUGUGGCGUCCUUGGCUUGGAACCUUCUUGUAAAGUCUUCUAAAUGCUUUUCCAAUGUAGCUAAGUCCUUGUCUUCAAGUCCCCAAGCGUUUUGGUGCUCCGUCCUAGUUUCUUGGUCUUCUUGGCCUUUCUCGGGUCCGGGUGGUGUAUUGUGAAGCAUCUCCAAACCUGCUCGUUGGAGGGACAAAAUUCCACGUUCAUUAGCCUCAGUAUAUAUACUUGGACGAGAGAUCUUACCUUUGUUGGAGGUUUCC
rnacentral:lncRNA from 1 species